rnacentral:miRNA from 9 species
CAGUGCCUGUUAGAAUGGUUUG